rnacentral:misc_RNA from 1 species
AAGUCGUAACAAGGUUUCCGUAGGUGAACCUGCGGAAGGAUCAUUAUCGUGUAUCCACGUAUAAACAAACUGUGAACCACUGCCUUCGGAAAUCGGUUGGACGGAUUAACUCCAUUGUGUGGUUUUGGAGUCCCGUCUGCUGUGGUGCGCUGAUUAUUCAGUUCCCCACGACAUGGCUUAUUUCUGAAGUGUAUUUUAAAUCACACCAUUUCUAACCUUUUAUUAACCACUUGAACCACAUGAAUGAUUUUAAAACUGACUUGUUUCUUACUCGAAACCAAUUGGUUUCGAGAAGAAAUC